rnacentral:rRNA from 1 species
UUAAUGGAGAGUUUGAUCCUGGCUCAGGACGAACGCUGGCGGCGUGCCUAAUACAUGCAAGUCGAGCG